rnacentral:rRNA from 1 species
CGGCGGACGGGUGAGUAACACGUGGGCAACCUGCCUGUAAGACUGGGAUAACUCCGGGAAACCGGGGCUAAUACCGGAUAAUCCUUCUUGCCACAUGGUGAGGAGUCAAAGGGCGGCUUUUAGCUGUCACUUACAGAUGGGCCCGCGGCGCAUUAGCUAGUUGGUGGGGUAAAGGCUCACCAAGGCGACGAUGCGUAGCCGACCUGAGAGGGUGAUCGGCCACACUGGGACUGAGACACGGCCCAGACUCCUACGGGAGGCAGCAGUAGGGAAUCUUCCGCAAUGGACGAAAGUCUGACGGAGCAACGCCGCGUGAGUGAUGAAGGUCUUCGGAUCGUAAAACUCUGUUGUCAGGGAAGAACAAGUAUGGUAGUAACUGACCGCACCUUGACGGUACCUGACCAGAAAGCCCCGGCUAACUACGUGCCAGCAGCCGCGGUAAUACGUAGGGGGCAAGCGUUGUCCGGAAUUAUUGGGCGUAAA